rnacentral:tRNA from 1 species
GGCUUCAUAGCUCAGUUGGUUAGAGCGUCACACCGGUAUCACGAGGUCAUGGGUUCAAACCCCGUUGAAGUCC